rnacentral:tRNA from 14 species
GCGGAUAUGGUCAAAUGGUAAAAUUCUCUU